GUCCAGACUCCUACGGGAGGCAGCAGUGGGGAAUAUUGCACAAUGGGGGAAACCCUGAUGCAGCAACGCCGCGUGAAGGAAGACGGUUUUCGGAUUGUAAACUUCUGUUCUUAGUGAAGAAGAAUGACGGUAGCUAAGGAGCAAGCCACGGCUAACUACGUGCCAGCAGCCGCGGUAAUACGUAGGGGGCAAGCGUUAUCCGGAUUUACUGGGUGUAAAGGGAGCGUAGACGGUUAUGUAAGUCUGGAGUGAAAGCCCGGGGCCCAACCCCGGGACUGCUUUGGAAACUGUGUAACUGGAGUACAGGAGGGGCAGGCGGAAUUCCUGGUGUAGCGGUGAAAUGCGUAGAUAUCAGGAGGAACACCGGUGGCGAAGGCGGCCUGCUGGACGGCGACUGACGUUGAGGCUCGAAAGCGUGGGGAGCGAACAGGAUUAGAUACCCGUGUA
rnacentral:rRNA from 1 species